UAGACCAACAUGGGAAGGUGGUCAGUACAAUGGCGAUGAAAAAAUGCGACAGGAUGCACUUCGAUUGGCCAUGGAAUACGGGGCUGAUUACAUUGAUGUUGAGCUCCAGGUUGCUCAUGAAUUCAUUCAAUCCAUAGCUGGAAAGAAGCCUGAAAAUUUUAAGAUUGUUGUUUCUUCUCAUAAUUAUCAAAAUACCCCAUCUAUGGAGGAUCUUGGUAAUCUUGUUGCAAAAAUACAAGCAACUGGAGCUGACAUAGUGAAGUUUGGAACAUCUGCCUUAGAUAUAACUGAUGCGGCACGUGUUUUCCAGAUAACUGUGCAUUCUCAGGUUCCAAUAAUAGCACUGGUUAUGAGCUUCUACAUUUAUACAAUUUCAGACAGAUAGGGCCCGACACAAAAGUGUUUGGUGUUAUUGGAAAGCCAGUUGGCCAAAGCAAAUCACCAAUUUUGUAUAAUGAGGCCUUCAAGUUAGUUGGUUUUAAUGGAGUUUAUCUGCAUUUGUUGGUAGAUGACAUUGCAAAUUUUCUCCAAACUUACUUGUCUGCAGAUUUUGCGGGAUUCAGUGUCACCAUUCCUCACAAGGAAGCUGCACUCACGUGCUGUGAUGAGGUUGAUCCAGUUGCCAAGUCAAUAGGAGCUGUUAAUUGCAUUAUAAGGAGACAAAGUGAUGGGAAGUUAUUGGGAUUCAAUCCUUCUCCUCGACCGGGCGAAAAGGGAUGAUGAUCGGUGCCGAUCCAAGUAUGGAAAAUACUGGAAAUCGUACUGCGAGAAGGUUCGGUACAGGGUCAUCCCCGGAAUUUACUGAGAAAAUGUUGCACAAGUGUUUGUUCUAUGUUGAGAAUGGCAUGUAUAUUCAGCCUUUCCAAAUUAAAUGAUGGCAGGCUGGUAUCAUGUUGUUGUUAUUGUUGUUUUUGUAAUGGUCAACUUUAUGGAUGUUGUAUUUCUCUCAUCUUCAAUGACCAAAAACUUUUCUUGUUUAGGAAAA